rnacentral:ncRNA from 1 species
CUUCUUCAAUCAGUUGCGGGCAAAUAAAGUGGAUGUGGCUGUCAAAGCCACCGGCGGUGAUGAUGCUGCCCUCGCAACUGAUCACUUCGGUGCCCGGGCCAAUGACGAUGUCCACGCCCGGUUGCACGUCGGGGUUGCCGGCCUUGCCAAUGGCCACAAUGCGGCUGUCUCUGAGGCCAAUGUCGGCCUUGAUGAUGCCCCAGUG